GACAGAGGUGGCAAGCGUUGUUCGGAAUCAUUGGGCGUAAAGAGCACGUAGGCGGUUUUGCAAGUCUGGUGUGAAAGCCCCUGGCUUAACCAGGGAAUUGCAUUAGAUACUACAAGACUUGAGUGCAGUAGGGGAGAGCGGAACUUCUAGUGGAGCGGUGAAAUGCGUAGAUAUUAGAAGGAACGCCGGCGGCGAAAGCGGCUCUCUAGGCUGUAACUGACGCUGAGUGUGCGAAAGCUAGGGGAGCAAACGGG
rnacentral:rRNA from 1 species